AUGAGCUUCCUCUGCCACAGAGGUGCUGAGGGUGAAGCUGCCCAAGGCCCCUUGCACACUCUGAAGGUGUUGCACCAUGAGCUGCUGCUUCAGCUGACUUUUCUCCACGCCUUCUUCCAGGCAUCAAAGCUGCAGUGCCCAUGGGUUGUGACCACAGGGGAGUUGUGUUGCAUCUGCAAAUCUCUGCUGUACAUCAAGAGCACAUCUGAACAGACAGGAAGCACCCUCCUACUCUUCUUCCAGGAAGCAUCUGAAUCACCCCAGCCCUGCAUCCCCCCCUUUCCUUCCCCUCAGAGCCACUGUGGACACUGAAGAGCUGGAGAGGACAUUGCGGAGGUUCGGAGGCACACCGUGAUGGUGGGAGCCAUUCCACGGCAGCCACGCCGCUUCUGGGGGGUGCCUGACUGGCAGGUGUCUUCAGCUAAUUGUGCCAACGACCGCCUGCUGCAGGGCAGGGAGGUUAAUCCGGAGCAAAGCAGGGUCCUGAUGCAGAGGGGUAAGUGUGGGGAGCAGCCAGGACAGGCUGCAGUGUUGUGGGCCACACAGAGGGGUUGAGGUUAGCAGGGACAUAUGGAGGUUAUCUGGAGUCCCACCUAGAGUCAUUGCCCAUGACUUUGUCCUGAUGACUUCUGGAUAUCUCCAAGGAUGAAGAUUCCACAACCUCUGUAGGUAACUGGUUAUAGUGCUCAGUCAUGGUAAAACAAAAUGGUUUUUCUGAUAUUCAGAGGGAACCUUUUAUUUAUAUAUCUAGAUAUCUAGAUAAGAUUUCACUGGGCUUCUCCAGGCUGAACAGUCCCAGCUCUCAUAGCCUUUCCUCACAGGAAAGAUGCUCCAUUCCAUUAAUUUGUUUAGUGUCCCUCUUUUGCACUCUCUCAGAUGUGUCCUCACCAGCGCUGAGCAGAGAGGGAGGAUCAGUUCUCUCAACCUGCUGUUAAUGCUGUGCCUGGUGCACUACUGUUCUUCUUUGCUGCAAGGGCACAUUGCUGGCUCAUUGGUGCCCACCAGGACCCCCAGGGCCUUUUCUGCUCUGCUGCUUUUCAGCCAGUCAGUCUCCAACACAUCCUUGUUGCAUGGUUAUACAUUUUAUCGCUCCUUUUAAACAGACUCCCUGGUCUCAAGCACCCUGGCCUGCCAUUUUCCCAUCCACACCCCAGUAGGGUCAAAACAGCAUAAAGAGAGCCUCACUCUCCACAUAGCCUUGAUCCACCUGGAGAACAAAUUUCCCUGUUGCUCACUUGCCCCUAAGCCCUAGCUCCACAAGAUCGGGC
rnacentral:lncRNA from 1 species